rnacentral:lncRNA from 1 species
CUGGUACCAAAAAAAAAAACAAAAAACACCAGAGAAUUUUUCUGUUACCUUGGUGAGUUUUAUGAGGUUAAUAUGAAAAAACAAACGAGGAAGGCUAAGGAAAUUCUGGAAUAAAGGAGCAGCAAGGGCUCGAUCCCACUCUGUGUCAGCAUCUCCCGUGGGGCUGCAGCCAGGCACCCUGUGUGGAGCUCAUCACAGACAGAUCAGCACGCAGUGGCGACCUGAACACAGGGGGAGGGACAAGUGUGCGGGGUAAGUCGCAGGUCGACAGUGCCGGGCUGCCUGCUCUUCCGUUUCCACCCUGCAGGCCUGGUGGCAAAGAUGGCUGAUGCCUACUGAACCUGUCCAGCGACCCUGGAGCAUGGGGGCCUGGGCAGGGUGGGGUCACCUCCAGACAGAGGCGAUGGACCCCAGCGAGCGUGCUGAAGAGCCUGCGACUUGGCGACAGAACCUCGGACAGCGGAGGUUAUGUGAGCAGAGGACUCGAGCAGGGGUCUGCACAAACCAUCACACAGCAUUGUUCACAAGCCUAAGAGCAGACAGUGGAGAUCCCUGCUGAGGGACAGCCACACACCCUCCUGCCGCACGGGCGGAGCAGCUUCCUGUGAGAAGGAGUCGGUCUUGGCCCCCCGUGCAGAGCAGCCACCCCCAGACGCCAGCCCUGCACUGAGCGCUGUACCUCAGUGUCUCAAUCUGCAGGCCCGCACCAUAAAGUAGGGCAGUGGCUGCUGAGGGCUGGAGGGGCCUGGGGGAAGUAGGGUGUCUUUGUCCGUUCCUGAUGCUAUAACAAACAUCAAGAUGGGUGAGUUCCAAACAGCAGUGGCAUCCUCCUCACCAAUCUGGGCUCUGUCUGGGGAGGGCCUGUUUUGCCCUGGGUGGGUGCCAGGCCACAGGCCUCUGCAGGACGCAGUCAAGGC